ACGAGAGGCCCAAACGUUAUUCGGAUUUACUGGGCUUAAAGAGUUCGUAGGCGGCGCAGAAAGUAGGGUGUGAAAGCCCUCGGCUCAACCGAGGAAUAGCGCUCUAAACUACUGUGCUUGAGGAACCUAGAGGUGAGCAGAACUGAUGGUGGAGCGGUGAAAUGCGUUGAUAUCAUCAGGAAUACCGGAGGCGAAGGCGGCUCACUGGGGGUUAUCUGACGCUGAGGAACGAAAGCCAGGGGAGCGAACGGGAUUAGAUACCCCGGUAGUCCUGGCCGUAAACGAUGAGCACUGGACCGGAGGACUGCACAGUUUUCCGGUCGUAGCGAAAGUGUUAAGUGCUCCGCCUGGGGAGUAUGGUCGCAAGGCUG
rnacentral:rRNA from 1 species